rnacentral:piRNA from 1 species
UCAGCAAAUACGGACAUCAGGCGAUUGC